GACGAACGCUGGCGGCGUGCUUAACACAUGCAAGUCGAACGGAAAGGCCCUGCUUUUGUGGGGUGCUCGAGUGGCGAACGGGUGAGUAACACGUGAGUAACCUGCCCUUGACUUUGGGAUAACUUCAGGAAACUGGGGCUAAUACCGGAUAGGAGCUCCUGCUGCAUGGUGGGGGUUGGAAAGUUUCGGCGGUUGGGGAUGGACUCGCGGCUUAUCAGCUUGUUGGUGGGGUAGUGGCUUACCAAGGCUUUGACGGGUAGCCGGCCGGAGAGGGUGACCGGCCACAUUGGGACUGGGCUACGGCCCAGACUCCUACGGGAGGCAGCAGUGGGGAAUAUUGCACAAUGGGCGGAAGCCUGAUGCAGCAACGCCGCGUGCGGGAUGACGACCUUCGGGUUGUAAACCGCUUUCGCCUGUGAAGAAGCGUGCGUGACGGUAAUGGGUAAAGAAGCACCGGCUAGCUACGUG
rnacentral:rRNA from 1 species